rnacentral:rRNA from 1 species
UACGAAGGGGGCUAGCGUUGUUCGGAAUUACUGGGCGUAAAGCGCGCGCAGGCGGUUUUGUAAGUUGGGGGUGAAAUCCCUGGGCUCAACCCAGGAAUGGCCUUCAAGACUGCAAGGCUAGAGGACGAGAGAGGUGAGUGGAAUUCCCAGUGUAGAGGUGAAAUUCGUAGAUAUUGGGAAGAACACCGGUGGCGAAGGCGGCUCACUGGCUCGUUUCUGACGCUGAGGCGCGAAAGCGUGGGGAGCAAACAGGAUUAGAUA